AUGCAGAGUACGUUGUACCCUCACCCUCUCCACCAUAGGAAACGCACUUCCUCAGUGCCGCAGUGCGCCGUCGACCUUCGAGCUGAGCGUCACGUUUCGCUUGACCUCCUCAUCCAGGCUCAUCAUCCUUGCUGGUUAUUCGAAGGUUUGUUUGCUGAUUGUCUGCAGCGGUUCGGAGUAUACGUGCUGAGCGAGAGUAGCUGAGGUGUCCCGCUAGGCCCACAGCUACAAAGCGCUUGUACAAUUACUCUACCGGAGCAGUUUGCAGUCAGUUCAUUGGCCACAGCACACGAAGAAUCAUCACUGAAGAUGGCGCGCCACAUUUACCCCAAGUCCUCAAAUCUCCAGCUACUAGUCUAAACUAGGUUAUUCAGUCAGAACCAACUUUCAUAGAUUACCUAUUCAAUGCAAUAGGUAAUCUAUGAAAGUUGGUUCUUGUGCUUGUACCUACUCUAAACUAUCUUCCUCAAUAAUGACAUAAAAAAUCCAGAUCCGCCCCGUACGUGACUGGGGUUGCAAUGGAAUACGGGCCCCAACCAUGUACGGGGCCAAACUAAUUUAAUUUUAGUUAAAUUAAGGUGAACGAACAAGCUUAAUGCGCUUCUUGAUUAGAUAGACUUUUGAAUACCCGUAGCAGUUUAUAUUUGGCGACAGCGGGCUUUCAUAAUGUCCAAGACUGCGAUUGUAUCUUGACUGGAGUACAGUACCUACCUGGGACCCAUGUCAUAGCGACAGUUACAGUCUUAAAACAAUUACUGGACGUGACUUGUAGGAGUAUGAACAUAAAUUCACAGCCCUUGUCAAACGACACGCUUGGGUAACGACUUUAAUCCCACUACAGAGACUAUUUCCUUGAAAGGAAAUCCCACGGAUUUGGCUUCAAUUUAAUCUGAAGACUAACGGCCGCACAGAUUAACGGCAUGCGGAGUGAUCGCGAUUACAAGUAGGGUAUAACAUCUGCUCAUUACAAAGCUUCUCGUCUAGUUUCUGGGUAAAGUGCGAAUCUGUAUUGACUUGUAUUCGCGAUGCAGGUUUAUCCCGAAUCUUGGUUUUAAAUGGUACAUGCUUUACACAUGAUCCAUUAAUUAUAUUUUAUUUUAAGUGA